AUUGAACGCUAGCGGCAUGCCUUACACAUGCAAGUCGAACGAGUGGCGGACGGGUGAGUAAUGUAUGGGAACGUGCCCAGUAGAGGGGGAUAACUACUGGAAAGGGUAGCUAAUACCGCAUACUAUUGGAUGUGCCGAUAUGGGAUUAGCUAGUGGGUGGGGUAAAGGCUCACCAAGGCAACGAUCCGUAGCUGGUUUGAGAGGAUGACCAGCCACACUGGGACUGAGACACGGCCCAGACUCCUACGGGAGGCAGCAGUGGGGAAUUUUGGACAAUGGGGGAAAGCCUGAUGCAGCCAUGCCGCGUGUAUGAGAAGGCCUUCGGGUUGUAAAGUACUUUUAGCAGGGAAGCGGUAUCCGCAGAAGAAGCACCGGCUAACUACGUGCCAGCAGCCGCGGUAAUAC
rnacentral:rRNA from 1 species